UUCAAUAUUAUAUAUAAUUAAUUUAUAUAUAAUGUGCACUUCUUUUUAUAAUAAGACGUUGUGAUCCAUUAGGAAUUGAUUGUUCCAUAUGUUAACAAUUAUUAGGUUACCAAUAGUUUAAUAUUGAAGUUCAUAAUUUUAAAUAAUAAAAUUGUUUAACAAUUAUAUACAUUAUAUUAUGAGCAUAUUAUAUACUGGUGUAACUGCCUGAUGGAUUUUAAAGGUCAUAAUAUUAAUAUAAAUUUAUUUAUAUUACUACUAUUCUAUUUGGAAUAGUUAUAAAUUAUGUACCCGAUCAACAACGGUUUCAUUUGGGAUACCUUUGGGACCCGUCUUGAAACACGGACCAAGGAGUCUAUCUAGUGUGCAAGUAAAUGGGAUUAUUAUUAUAAACCUAUUUGCGUAAAUAACUUGACUGUUAUAUUAAAAAUGGGAUUACAAGUUUUUAUUAAAUACAAAUAAGAAUUUCUCCAUCCCGGGGUAUUUUUAUAAUAUAUAAUGAUUGUUAUAGAUUAUUAUAUAAAAAAUAUACCAUGAGCAUACUGGAUAUGACCCGAAAGAUGGUGAACUAUGCCUGAUCAGGUUGAAGUCAGGGGAAACCCUGAUGGAGGACCGAAGCAAUUCUGACGUGCAAAUCG
rnacentral:rRNA from 1 species